UCUAUUUGAUAUAAAAUAAAAUAAUUUCAAAAUUAUGCGUAUAAAGAUACACCCAAAUAAAAUGCAGCCUAGUGCUAGUGAACCUGUCAGCCUUCCUUGAUUAACCAUGCAUGUAUUAUAGGAUUUUUGAUAUACACCCAAAGUCUUGCGAGUACAAAAUUGUACUCACCCUUGUUGCUAAAAUUUUAAAAUCCAGAGUUCGAAGAAAAGCCGUCUCAGUUCAGUUCCUUGCCGAAGGAUGCGGGUUUUCGACGAUGGUUCUUUCUAGGACUAACUCCCAGUCAGUUGCCUGUGGGAAUGUUGUGAUACCGGUGCUGUUGUGCGUACUUGCGGACUGAUCAUGGGACAAGUACAGUAAGG